UGGGGAAUUUUGGACAAUGGGCGAAAGCCUGAUCCAGCAAUGCCGCGUGUGUGAAGAAGGCCUUCGGGUUGUAAAGCACUUUUGUCCGGAAAGAAAUCCUUGGCUCUAAUACAGUCGGGGGAUGACGGUACCGGAAGAAUAAGCACUGGCUAACUACGUGCCAGCAGCCGCGGUAAUACGUAGGGUGCAAGCGUUAAUCGGAAUUACUGGGCGUAAAGCGUGCGCAGGCGGUUUGCUAAGACCGAUGUGAAAUCCCCGGGCUCAACCUGGGAACUGCAUUGGUGACUGGCAGGCUAGAGUAUGGCAGAGGGGGGUAGAAUUCCACGUGUAGCAGUGAAAUGCGUAGAGAUGUGGAGGAAUACCGAUGGCGAAGGCAGCCCCCUGGGCCAAUACUGACGCUCAUGCACGAAAGCGUGGGGAGCAAACAGGAUUAGAUACCCUGGUAGUCCACGCCCUAAACGAUGUCAACUAGUUGUUGGGGAUUCAUUUCCUUAGUAACGUAGCUAACGCGUGAAGUUGACCGCCUGGGGAGUACGGUCGCAAGAUUAAAAGCUCAAAGGAAUUGACGGGG
rnacentral:rRNA from 1 species